UCACAGAAAUCCAUCUUAAUGGUUAGGUUUUGAAGUUUUCUUUUUAAUUAAAAAAAUUAAAGAGUGAACUACAUAAGGUUUAUAGUAUACUCCAUACUGCUUUCUUGUAGGGACCUGGUGAGAACAACACAAUUCUCAGCUACCUUGUAGCUGAGAACAACGCAAAUGAUCUUGUGCAUAGCUGGAGUGGAGAAGCUACAAAAAGAGGAUUCAGAUACUGUUUUGCUACUUCUACACACUGGAUUUACAUGCUAAAAUGCAGACUUGCUUUCAGCGAAGGUCCAGGAGAUACAAUGUUAGGAGAACCUUUCAUGUUUGAGAAGAACGGCGACACUGGUUUCACUGAGCAUGCGCCCAGCUGUUGGCACUGAGUGCACCGAGUCACUUGCGCAGCAAGAGACCCACUACGUGUGGUAACUGCUGUCUCCCAUCGGCAGCCCUUGCGUCAUCUGCUGCCUCGGCUGAGCUACAGGGAGGACACCGGGCCAGAGGCGCCAACAUUCACCGCGCUGACCUUCUUUUCAGGAGUGCCUUAUUCAUUUGAAAGGAAAACUAUUAUUCCUGGAAAAUUGUUUUUCCUUUUGCUGAAGCACUGGAACAGAGGAGGAGUCUCCUCUUGUCCAUGGUAUCAUCUACCCAUGGUAAGAAAUAUUAAGUGGGAAAUUCCAGAAAAAGAGGGGAGGGGAAAGGGAGAGAGGAAGAGGGACAGAGACAGAGACAGAGACAGAGAAAGAGAGAGAC